rnacentral:rRNA from 1 species
GCAAGUCGUGCGAGAAGUAUCUUCGGAUAUGAGUAGAGCGGCGGACGGGUGAGUAACGCGUAGGAAUCUACCUAGUAGAAGGGGAUAGCCCGGGGAAACCCGGAUUAAUACCGUAUACCUCCUUCGGGAGAAAGAAGGCCUCUCUUUGAAGCUUUCGCUACUAGAUGAGCCUGCGUAAGAUUAGCUUGUUGGUGAGGUAAAGGCUCACCAAGGCUACGAUCUUUAGCUGGUCUGAGAGGACGAUCAGCCACAUUGGGACUGAGACACGGCCCAGACUCCUACGGGAGGCAGCAGUGGGGAAUAUUGGACAAUGGGCGCAAGCCUGAUCCAGCCAUACCGCGUGUGUGAAGAAGGCCUUCGGGUUGUAAAGCACUUUAAGCAGGGAGAAAAAGUUAUAAGUUAAUACCUUAUAACCCUGAUGUUACCUGCAGAAUAAGCACCGGCUAAUUCCGUGCCAGCAGCCGCGGUAAUACGGAAGGUGCAAGCGUUAAUCGGAAUUACUGGGCGUAAAGCGCGCGUAGGUGGUUUGUUAAGUUGGAUGUGAAAGCCCUGGGCUCAACCUAGGAACUGCAUCCAAAACUAACUCACUAGAGUACGAUAGAGGGAGGUAGAAUUCAUAGUGUAGCGGUGGAAUGCGUAGAUAUUAUGAAGAAUACCAGUGGCGAAGGCGGCCUCCUGGAUCUGUACUGACACUGAGGUGCGAAAGCGUGGGUAGCGAACAGGAUUAGAUACCCUGGUAGUCCACGCCGUAAACGAUGACAACUAGCUGUUGGGAGACAAUGUCUUUCAGUGGCGCAGCUAACGCUUUAAGUUGUCCGCCUGGGGAGUACGGCCGCCAGGGUAAAACUCAAAUGAA